CAUGGUAGGUCCGCGGCUGCCUUUCUAGCUAAAAAGAUGAUAUACACUUGGCAGGGGCUGGAAUACCACAAAACCAUGCCAGGAUUGGAGAGCCAAGAUGGCAAGAAGCUAGAAUGACCGGAAAAGUAGUCCUUCCAGAGCGUGACGGCAAGUGAAAAACAUGGUUAUGGGUUUUUUUCAAGGGUUUAGUCAUAAGAAGAUAUUAGGUGAUGGAAGCUCAGCAAAAAGCUCAUUGAAGUAUUUAAUCAACUGUAGUUUUACAUGUGCUAAUCUGCAUUAAGCCAUAUCUGGCUCUGCUAUGUUCCUGUGUGCCUGCCCAGGAAACCAGGCAUCUUAAACAGUGAUCAAUGAGAAAUUAAAGUUCUCCGCGGAA